rnacentral:rRNA from 1 species
GGAAUUUUGGACAAUGGGCGCAAGCCUGAUCCAGCAAUGCCGCGUGAGUGAAGAAGGCCUUCGGGUUGUAAAGCUCUUUUGUCAGGGAAGAAACGGUGAGAGCUAAUAUCUUUUGCUAAUGACGGUACCUGAAGAAUAAGCACCGGCUAACUACGUGCCAGCAGCCGCGGUAAUACGUAGGGUGCAAGCGUUAAUCGGAAUUACUGGGCGUAAAGCGUGCGCAGGCGGUUUUGUAAGUCUGAUGUGAAAUCCCCGGGCUCAACCUGGGAAUUGCAUUGGAGACUGCAAGGCUAGAAUCUGGCAGAGGGGGGUAGAAUUCCACGUGUAGCAGUGAAAUGCGUAGAUAUGUGGAGGAACACCGAUGGCGAAGGCAGCCCCCUGGGUCAAGAUUGACGCUCAUGCACGAAAGCGUGGGGAGCAAACAGGAUUAGAUACCCUAG